GAUGAACGCUGGCGGCGUGCCUAAUACAUGCAAGUCGAGCGAACAGACGAGGAGCUUGCUCCUCUGACGUUAGCGGCGGACGGGUGAGUAACACGUGGAUAACCUACCUAUAAGACUGGGAUAACUUCGGGAAACCGGAGCUAAUACCGGAUAAUAUAUUGAACCGCAUGGUUCAAUAGUGAAAGACGGUUUUGCUGUCACUUAUAGAUGGAUCCGCGCCGCAUUAGCUAGUUGGUAAGGUAACGGCUUACCAAGGCGACGAUGCGUAGCCGACCUGAGAGGGUGAUCGGCCACACUGGAACUGGGACACGGUCCAGACUCCUGAGGGAGGCCGCAGUAGGGAAUCGUCCGCAAUGGGCGAAAGCCUGACGGAGCAACGCCGCGUGAGUGAUGAAGGUCUUCGGAUCGUAAAACUCUGUUAUUAGGGAAGAACAAAUGUGUAAGUAACUAUGCACGUCUUGACGGUACCUAAUCAGAAAGCCACGGCUAACUACGUG
rnacentral:rRNA from 1 species